UAUAUCAAUUCAAAACUACCAUUCCACCAGGAAGUCAAACCAAACAUUCAAAUACUAAGUGGCUGAUAGUUCACACUAACACCAAUUGACGAUUGAAUAACUGUUUAUGAAGAUGUUCCCAUUAUCUCUUAGGAUCCCACAACCAAGCAGAGCAUCAGGGUUUCAAUUAAUCACUUCAUCAAAUCUAAGCAAAUCAGACCCAGCUUCUCCUUUUAAAAAGAGAAGCCCAGAAUAAGCUAAGCCACCACUACCUAAUUCUGGGUCAAAGUGAAGGAGGGAAGAAGAGGAAUAGCUGAUGGAAUUUAGAAAUAUUCCAUCAUCAAAUUGCAUACCUCUUGCAGCUUCUUACGUCGCCCUUUGGAUUCAACAGGAAAGCGCUGUAGCAUUAAGAAUAGUCUGUAAAAAACAGCCAAAAACGCGACACGGAAUCAGAAAAGUCAGAAGGUAAUACAGAUGAGUACACAAAGCAUAAGUACAUUGACAAAAUUCAAUUUUCAAUUUAAAAAUUCAAGUUGAAAGUAUCUAUCUGCCUUAAAAUUCUCUAAUUUUAUAAAAGAGGAAAUUUCAUUUGGGAACAAGACAGAAAAGAAAAAAGGAUACGUUACACUAGUAAACAGAGAAGAAAAUUGACAUAGAAAGGCACAAGCUUAAAAAUAUAAAAUCAGGUAUGCUCACUAAGUAGUUUGUAAAGGUAACUGUAAUAAUCUAUUACCAUUCAGUACAGAAAUUCCAUGACAACCCAAAAUCCCUCUGUAGGCUUGUGAUGCAUCAACAUAGCUCCCAAGUAAAAUUAUGAUAUAUGAUAACUUUACUGCUAUCACAUCUAAAACCAAAUAUAGUUCGCAAUUUUAAAAAUCUUUGAAGCCACUCACAGCAGUAUCCAAAUCAGGGUAAUGAAUAAGAUCAUGACUAACUAAAGACAAUAAAAAAAACAUCCUUUGACCUGUUAAGCUGGUUUGGUGUUUAUUUUUGAAAGAUUUACCAGUCCCAGUUUCAGUUUCAAUAAAUUUCUAGUUUGGAUAAAA